rnacentral:lncRNA from 1 species
AAAGAUUGCUCAGAGCUUCCUUCAAUCCAAAGAGGUAAGGGGUCUGAACCUUAUUAAAUAAUAAUAUGCUGAAAAUGGUGAAAUAUUAGAUGAACGAAAUUGGGAUUUUAAUCGAAGGAAUUCGUAGAAAUUAUAUGCAAUGAUGUUAGGAUUUGUGAAAUCGAAUAGGAGACUAAUUGUAUUAGAUGAUAUGAGUGAUUUUGUGUGAAAUUUGGACUGUGGAGGGAUGAAUUUGGAUAGAUCUCGUAGCAGAGGGAGCCAUUGCAGAUCUGGAAAUCUGGUUUCUGGUCAUACGCGUAUGGCAC